UCUCUGGUGGCCUAACGGUUAGGGAUUCAGCAUUGUCACUGCUGUGGCUUGGGUUCAAUCCCUGACCCGAGUA
rnacentral:tRNA from 1 species